rnacentral:misc_RNA from 1 species
GAUGAAGAACGUAGCGAACGUGCGAAACGUAAUGUGAAUUGCAGAAUUCAGUGAAUCAUCGAAUCUUUGAACGCAUCUUGCGCUCCUUGGUAUUCCGAGGAGCAUGCCUGUUUGAGUGUCGUGAAUACUCUCAACUUCAACCCUUUUUUCGGAAGGGGAGGAAGGUUGGACUUGGGUGUUUGUUGAAGUGCGAGCUUCGACUCAUCCUAAAUGCAUUAGCGAUCUGCCUCGAUCACACACAAUGUGAUAAUUAAAACUAAAGCAUUGUUUAAUGAUCAAGUCGAGACUGCUUCUAACUGUCGCAAGACAAUAACGUGCAUACAUUUGUGCAUGUCAUUUGACCUCAAAUCAGGUAGGACUACCCGCUGAACUUAAGCAUAUCAAUAAGCGGAGGA